GAUAUUAAUGAGGUGAAGUGUGAGUCAAUAGAGUUUGCAUGGUCAGUUAAACGGGUAUGAUUAAAUUGCCAUGAAUGCACGCGUGAGCACAUGAAUUGACGGUCAGAUGAAUAAUGCACAUGGGAAAAAAUAAUCAAAAGGGCAAACAGAACACAACGAGUAACCAACACAUUCUCGCUCCUUCUCACUCAGUCAUUAUCUUUGUCGUGCCGGAGGCUCCCUCAGUGGCAGAGAUUCCCCAUAAAUCCCAAUUUUCAAUGCCAAUCUCUCUCUCUCAACCUCUACUUACCGAAGCCAAAAAUUGUUUCCUCCAAUUUCUACACACUCAACCAAAUCGAGCAAUUUUGGCCAAGAACACUAAAUCCUAUAACUUAAAUUAAAUCACAACCAAGCCUCAAAUUGUUCCAAAACCAAAGGGUACCACUCUCCUACCUCUAAACAAUCACUUGGUAACGAAAAUUGGAAAGAAAAAGAUGAAAUUUAGAAGACCUUAUCGGAGCAGAUCGGAGAUGAAGACGAAAACGGAAACUGGGUGUGCUGUAAUCCUUUUCUAUUCUGCUUCUUCUCUCUUCUUUGGUCUUCUUCUUAUCUCUUCUUCAUAUGUUAUUGCUAUUCUUCUAGUGAGGAUGAUUGAGAGUGAAUAGUAGUGAUUGUUGAAAAAUUUAUGAUUGCUCUGAUUGCGUCAAUUUUUGUGACUGGAAUGAAUAGGUGAUGAUUGUUCUGUGUGAUUCUGUGUGUGAUUGAUUGUGUGAGUGAUUAAUCUUAUGAUUGUGUGAUUCUAUGAUUGAGAGAGUAUAAAGAGGGAUUCAAUGAUAAAAUGAUUGGUUAAGUGAUUGAGUGUGUGAUUGUGUGAACUUUUCCACCUCCUUAAUAAUGAAUGAUGAAGAUCAUUUAUAGGGAAAAUGAGUCUUAAUAGAGUUUCUUUAAUUAUGUUCAGUUCUGAAUGUGCACGUUAGUUGAGUCAACUAACUCUGUUAGGCUUCAGAAUUUGUACCCAAAUUUAGUUUGCUAUAACAGUUUGUUAGGGUAUUUUGUUUGUUGUUAUUAUUUAUUUUAUUAUGAUAGUUGUUGAAUGAUUAGUUAGUUACAAUUUUGUUAGAUUUUAGUUAGUUAGUUGUUGUUAUGGCAUGAUUUCUGUUAGGUUAUGAUUCAGUUAGUUGGUGGGAUUAAUGAGUGAAUAUAUUAGUAACUGUUAUAAGAAUACUGUUAUGUUAUAUGUUGAGUUGUUACGACUGAACUCUAUUAAGUAUUUUUCACCCUUGAAUUUCCCUGCUGCUGUUAUACCCUAUUAUUGUUAUGCUUGAUUAUGAAUUUUCGUGCCAUUUUCGUGGACAUAUCUGCUAUGGGCCUUCUCAUUGUUGGGUUGCAACUUGUUGUGAAUUCAUGGUUGUUUAUGUUGAGUUAUGUGUUGGAUAUGAAUGGCUUGCAUUCCCUGAUGUUUAACAUGUUAUGUUGCUGCUAAAGGUGAAAUGUUAUGAUGUUUUGUUGUUUGAAAUGUGUGGAAAUAUGAAUGCAUAGCCUGAUGUUAUAUGAUAUAUGAAUGUUUGUUAUUUCUAAUGUGAUGAAUUUUUUAUGUAUGGACUGUUGUAUGAGCUGCUAUGAGGCUAUGAAUUUGUUGUCAUGGAUGUACAUGAAGAAUGGUUGUUAAUGUGAAUCAAAUAAUGCCAUGCUUGUUUGAAUAUUUUGCAGGGCUGAAACAUGUGUGCUUGCAUUGCAUUGACCAUGAUUGAAGCUUGGCAUGGAGGUUCAUGAUGGGAACUUAAAGAAAUCCAAAGGUUACCUGUUCAUGAAGAAAUGUGCUUGGUUAUGGAAUCAAAUGGAAAGAAAUAAAGAGAAUGAAGAAUCAAGGGUCAUUAGGGUUAGGGAUGUGGAAAUUAGGUUAGUUGACUCUUUAGUCAACUGGUUAACCAAAAAAUCAACAAUUGACCAAAAGUCAAUUGUAGGUCAAACUUUGAUUUUUUUUUGUAAUUUUUAUAUGGAACUUUGUAAAUAGUGAUUAUAUUAUAAAAUAGACAAUAUUUUGAAUGA